AACGAACGCUGGCGGCAUGCCUAACACAUGCCAGUCGAACGAGACCUUCGGGUUUAGUGGCGCACGGGUGCGUAACGCGUGGGAACCUGCCCUUAGGUUCGGAAUCACUCCCCGAAAGGGGUGCUAAUACCGGAUAAUGUCUUCGGACCAAAGAUUUAUCGCCUUUGGAUGGGCCCGGGUUGGAUUAGCUAGUUGGUAGGGUAAAAGCCUACCAAGGCGACGAUGCAUAGCUGGUCUGAGAGGAUGAUCAGCCACGCUGGGACUGCGACACGGCCCAGACUCCUACGGGAGGCAGCAGUGUGGAAUAUUGGACAAUGGGCGAAAGCCUGAUCCAGCAAUGCCGCGUGAGUGAUGAAGGCCUUAGGGUUGUAAAGCUCUUUUACCCGGGAUGAUAAUGACAGUACCGGGAGAAUAAGCUCCGGCUAACUCCGUG
rnacentral:rRNA from 1 species